rnacentral:snRNA from 1 species
GUAUUGUAUCAGCUUCGGCAGUACAUAUGCUAAAAUUGGAACGAUACAGAGAAGAUUAGCAUGGUCUCUGCACAAGGAUGACAUGCAAAUUUGUGAAGUGUUCCAUAUUUUA